UGAUAUUUGUAGGCAUGUUCCUGAGCGGUU
rnacentral:piRNA from 1 species